rnacentral:rRNA from 1 species
GACGAACGCUGGCGGCGUGCCUAAUACAUGCAAGUAGAACGCUGAAGGAGGAGCUUGCUUCUCUGGAUGAGUUGCGAACGGGUGAGUAACGCGUAGGUAACCUGCCUGGUAGCGGGGGAUAACUAUUGGAAACGAUAGCUAAUACCGCAUAAGAGUAGAUGUUGCAUGACAUUUGCUUGAAAGGUGCAAUUGCAUCACUACCAGAUGGACCUGCGUUGUAUUUGGUAGAUGGUGGGGUAACGGCUCACCAAGGCGACGAAACAGAGCCGACCUGAGAGGGUGAUCGGCCAAACUGGGACUGAGACACGGCCCAGACGCCUACGGGAGGCAGCAGUAGGGAAUCUUCGGCCAUGGGCGGAAGGCUGACCGAGCAACGCCGCGUGAGGGAAGAAGGUUUUCGGAUCGGAAAGGUCUGUUGUAAGGGAAGAACGAGUGUGAGAGUGGAAAGUUCACACUGUGACGGUACCUUAACAGAAAGCGACGGCUAACUACGUG